GUGCAAUCCGAUGGUAUAAUUGUAGAAGAAAGUUGUCACUUUGUGCAUGCGCACUGAUUAAUUUUCGUGCGCAAAGGAAUCGUUUGGGUUUCGCUUCUCGAGUUCUGCGCGCAUCGCUACAACUCGCGACAUUCCUGUUCACAUUAUCUGAUUUCAUUCUUUAUAUAAGUAGUAUCCGCUAGAGAUAUUUGAAGUUGGAAGAGACACUAAAAUGCUAAAAGUAUAAUAAUUAUUAUUAUAAUGUUUGCUGCGAUAAUAAUAAUAAUAAUAAAGUAUCGUUUUCUAUCCUUACAACUAAGUAAAUUUCCAAUCAGUUUCAUAAAAAGUAAAGUAGUGCUUCGUUUUUCUUAGUAUCUAAUAAGAAUUGCGAACACGUUUCGACCGUUUUAAUGUUUAAAGAAGAUGAAUCCAAUCAGUGUUUCAAAUCAUUUUCAAUCGAAAUCCAUGCUUACUUAUCAACUGCUACUUCGUAAUUACUGCGAAUUGCCGGGAGGAGUUAGAAGGGGGUAAAAAAGCAGCAAUUUAACGCAACCAGUCACUUCGUACGUCGUCGUUGGGUCGAUGAUGGAUCAUGUCCGUCUUCAAUACGACGCGCCAUUACAGUGACCUAACGUGACUGCUUAUUGUUAAGGGGAUGAAAGACAGUCAGGAGGGAGUUUAGACUAGACUAGGGGUCAAAUCCCACAUGAAUCGAUAGUAUUUUCUGCUUUCCACUUCUCGAAACCCGUUUUGUGAUGAAUGCGUAUGUCUCUCUACCUCACCUACCUACCUAUCCACUCACCCCGAGCUCUAUUGAUUUUCCCUUAUCUCCGUGAAAUCAACGCUCUCUAAACGGGAGACAUAUUGGCUGCAUUCCCAUCGAAACGAUUCUCAUACGUCACAUAAAAUCUUCACUUUUUUUUUUUAAUAACAUUAUUUUCCAAUUGACAAAAAAAAAAGAAAAAUUACGCAACACCAUAAAUCAUAAAACUCGUUGGCUUCUAUCAAUGGGGGGUUAUAUCGGUUAAACAAACUUAAUAUUUAAGAAAUGUGUCUCAUUUUCAACGAAUAUCUCUCGCCCACUAGUGGAUGGUAGCGUGUACAGACGAACUUGGCAUUGAUGAAUGAGACUGCAUAGAAAAGUUGGGUGUGCGUGGUGCACGUGAUAUGGACCGUAUUACCGGACUGAUGAAAUGUCAAUGAUUUUCUAUCCGCCUCUUUCGACUUUUCUGUUUAAAGUUUGCAUUUUAAAUCAACAAAUCGACCUCCGGCAUGAUCUACAGUUACCAAUCGUAAUUGACUGUAAGACAACACCAGUUAAGGUUCUGUUAUGGCGAUAUGUUUCUGUGCCUAAAGGCGACUUUUGGAAUUCGCUGGCCUCUUGGGCUCAGAUAGUAGUAGAGUUUGGUCGCGGUCUUUCUCUUCCGGUGACUUCCUUAAGAGGAUGAAAUUUGUAGAAGGGGGAAAAAAAAUUUUGUCUUCCUGUUGUUAUAAAACGUAUUUUUAUUUUUUUUUCUUUACUUCAUCGAUUAGCAUUUUAAUUUUUCAAACUAGAAGAAAAUUUACGACACGACGAGUGCCGUUCAGUAUUAGUUUAUUAACCGUAAUAAAAUGAUGAUUCUCUUGGAAACAGAACCAUCCCUUUUAUUUUCGCUAGUUGGGUCACAAUAAUAACAAUCAGGAAUUUUUGCCAUCAGCAGACAAAGCCUGUUUAGAGACCACCGUUCUGCAUAACGACGAGGGAAGAGAAAGUAUUGAAUUUUUUUUUUUUUCUUCUUAACCGCGUCUAGCGACAACUAGCCGGGCGAGAUUGCACACGCGUUCCAGUCACUGUCUCACCCCUCUCGCUUUCCCCGUCUCUCCUUCUCUCUCUCUCUCUCUCUCUCUAUCUAUCUCUGAACUGUGUGCUAGCGCGAGAAAAAUCAAUAAAGGUCGUUCGCUCUGGCGUUGACAGACAACAAGCGAGAGUCGACUCGGUACCUGGUUGGCCUCAAAAGUCUCUGCUUGGUGCUGCAAAAGAUAGUCCAGUUGCGUAAUAAAUAAAACAAGUUGCAGCGAAUGUACCGUAGCUACUGGACGAGUAUAGCCAAAGCUAUUAUACAUUGCGGUCUGUGGGCGGGAAAGCGACUGACUUCAGUCCCACUACCGGCCUUUAUUGAUUUUCGUGAAGGAACUGGCUCGGCUAAUGGAUAUGUUGCAGGAUUUGUGGAGGGUAUCCCCCAUCGUGGUACAGAUUGCUGCGCAUAAUACACCGGAUGAUGCGGCGAGAGUAGCGCAGUCGUGGCGUUUAAAACCUCUCCAGUUGACGAAUAAAUAGCGUUUCCCCCUCUCUCCCUUAGCCAUUCUUCCCGGAUAUCGUUUUCGACUCGAUGUGAUGGGAUGGGAGAUGAAUGUCGACCUCUAGCUCUGCAUACAUCUGGUAGUUGAUUUCGUUUGUGCGUGGAAAAACACCAGUAAAUUACGUCCACGUGGGGUAUCGCUGCACUCGGCACGGUCUGCUGGAGUGAAAUUAAUGACGUCGUCACUGUACAAACUAUUUUUAUUCUUCCCGCGGGGAUCAUUGAGUUGACCGUUAAAGUUAUCUGUGGGGCUAAGAUUGGGCGGAGCCCGUGGUAUAAGAGCCUACCGGUUAAUGAAUGGAAAGAAGAAUUUUUUUUUUUUUUUUUUUUGUAUCAAUGUGUGUUUGUUUGACGCCCCAACAGUUCACCAGACAUAUUUAGAGAUUUGAGAAGGAACAUUAGCGCAGGCACUCCCCUUUGUGCUUUGGGUGGUUAGGCAAUUGGAACGAUUACGAAUUUAGUGGAUUUAAAUUGAUUGAAAGAGAGGAUCGUUUUGACAAAUAAGAUCAAAACUUUUUAUUAAAGCAUAUGUUUUCAAUGAACUUUUUUCCUUUUUGAAUGAUAUUGCAAACAUUAUAACAUAAUAAAAAUAUAUAUAUAAUCAUUUUAUCUUUGGAACCACUCCAGUACACUAUUACAUAAGCAUAAUUUUGGUCAUAUUUUAUCCUCUCCCCUAUGUAAGCAAUCUAUUGACCCCUUCUUAAAUUAC
rnacentral:lncRNA from 1 species